rnacentral:rRNA from 1 species
GACGAACCGUGCGAACGUUGUUCGGAAUCACUGGGCUUAAAGGGCGCGUAGGCGGGCGUCCAGGCCCGCGGUGAAAUCCCCCGGCUCAACCGGGGAAGGGCCGCGGGGACCGGGCGUCUGGAGUGAGGUAGGGGCGUGCGGAACUGUGGGUGGAGCGGUGAAAUGCGUUGAUAUCCACAGGAACUCCGGUGGCGAAGGCGGCACGCUGGACCUCGACUGACGCUGAGGCGCGAAAGCCAGGGGAGCGAACGGGAUUAGAUACCCCGGUAGUCCUGGCCCUAAACGUUGGGGACUGGGUAGCAGGCCGGACAUGGGCUUGCUGCCGGAGCGAAAGUGUUAAGUCCCCCGCCUGGGGAGUAUGGUCGCAAGGCUGAA